ACACAUGCAAGUCGAACGAGCGAGAGAGAGCUUGCUUUCUCGAGCGAGUGGCGAACGGGUGAGUAACGCGUGAGGAACCUGCCUCAAAGAGGGGGACAACAGUUGGAAACGACUGCUAAUACCGCAUAAGCCCACGGGUCGGCAUCGACCAGAGGGAAAAGGAGUGAUCCGCUUUGAGAUGGCCUCGCGUCCGAUUAGCUAGUUGGUGAGGUAACGGCCCACCAAGGCGACGAUCGGUAGCCGGACUGAGAGGUUGAACGGCCACAUUGGGACUGAGACACGGCCCAGACUCCUGCGGGAGGCAGCAGUGGGGAAUAUUGCACAAUGGGGGAAACCCUGAUGCAGCGACGCCGCGUGGAGGAAGAAGGUCUUCGGAUUGUAAACUCCUGUUGUUGGGGAAGAUAAUGACGGUACCCAACAAGGAAGUGACGGCUAACUACGUGCCAGCAGCCGCGGUAAAACGUAGGUCACAAGCGUUGUCCGGAAUUACUGGGUGUAAAGGGAGCGCAGGCGGGAAGACAAGUUGGAAGUGAAAUCCAUGGGCUCAACCCAUGAACUGCUUUCAAAACUGUUUUUCUUGAGUAGUGCAGAGGUAGGCGGAAUUCCCGGUGUAGCGGUGGAAUGCGUAGAUAUCGGGAGGAACACCAGUGGCGAAGGCGGCCUACUGGGCACCAACUGACGCUGAGGCUCGAAAGUGUGGGUAGCAAACAGGAUUAGAUACCCUGGUAGUCCACACCGUAAACGAUGAUUACUAGGUGUUGGAGGAUUGACCCCUUCAGUGCCGCAGUUAACACAAUAAGUAAUCCACCUGGGGAGUACGACCGCA
rnacentral:rRNA from 1 species